CGGUAAUUCCAGCUCCAAUAGCGUAUAUUAAAGUUGUUGCAGUUAAAAAGCUCGUAGUUGAAUUUCUGAUAGAAGGGAGCGGUUCCGCAUUCUUGCGGAUACUGGCUCGUCUUCCGUCAUCCUUGGGCUUAGUCUCGCUGAUAUUAACUUAUCGGCGUGUACGAUGCCCAUCGUUUACUGUGAGCAAAUUAGAGUGUUCAAAGCAGGCAUUUUGCCAUUGAAUAUAUUAGCAUGGAAUAAUAAGAUAGGAUUUCACGAUUUUAUUUUGUUGGUUUGCGUUGUGAAAUAAUGAUUAAGAGGGACAGUUGUGGGUAUUCGUACUCAGAUGUCAGAGGUGAAAUUCUUAGAUUAUCGGAAGACGAACGACUGCGAAAGCAUUUACCAAGGAUGUUUUCAUUAAUCAAGAACGAAAGUAUGGGGAUCGAAGAUGAUUAGAUACCAUCGUAGUCUAUACCAUAAACUAUGCCGACUCAGGAUCGGCGGGUCAAUUUUUUUUGCUCGUCGGCACUGUAUGAGAAAUCAAAGUCUUUGGGUUCCGGGGGGAGUAUGGUCGCAAGGCUGGAACUUAAAGAAAUUGACGGAAGGGCACCACCAGGAGUGGAACCUGCGGCUUAAUUUGACUCAACACGGGAAAACUUAUCAGGUCCAGACAUAAUGAGGAUUGACAGAUUGAGAGCUCUUUCUUGAUUUUAUGGGUGGUGGUGCAUGGCCGUUCUUAGUUGGUGGAGUGAUUUGUCUGGCUAAUUCCGUUAACGAACGAGACCCCAGCCUGCUAAAUAAUCACGCGAAUGAUUCUUCAUUGGCGAUGGUUUCUUAGAGGGACAUGUUCGAACAACGAACAGGAGGAUUGGGGCAAUAACAGGUCUGUGAUGCCCUUAGAUGUUCUGAACCGCACGCGUGUUACACUGAUGCAUUCAACGAGCUAUUAACCUUGGCCGAGAGGCCUGGGAAAUCUUGGAACGUGCAUCGUGAUAGGGAUUGAUUAUUGCAAUUUUUAAUCAUGAACGAGGAAUUCCUAGUAAACGCAGAUCAUCAAUCUGCAUUGAUUACGUCCCUGCCCUUUGUACACACCGCCC
rnacentral:rRNA from 1 species